AUGAUGAUGAUGACGAUGAGGAUGAGGAUGACGAUGAUGAUGAUGAUGAUGAUGAUGAUGACGAUGAAGAUGAUGAUGAUGAAGAUGAUGAGCAGAUUUGAGGUUUUUUUAGUUUUUUGGCCUGAAGGUUUCUUCUAAAUACCAUUUUCAACCUUCACUGACUAAUCGCAGCUCAGCGGGACAAGAGCCUCGCCGAUGACCUUUGACACCGCAGCUAAGAGAAAACGUAACAUUUUCUCCACAUAUCAAAAUAAAUUUUUAAAAGGAUAAAAAAAUAGACUAAAAGUGUAAAAUGAGGGAAAGAAAAUGUCAAAAUGCACAGAAGAUGAAAGAGGAUAUAAGAUUUAUUGAAAGAUAAAUGAGUUAAUAUGAAAAUGAAGUUACCUAAAAAUUAAAACACAUGUUUAAUCAUAAUAAUGCAGGACAGCGGCUGUUGAUUCUGAUUCCGACCUCCGGUUUGAAGAUGAAACGUGAGGCGUUAUUAUUUUUAGACAAGCUGCGACCACGACUCUGGAUGAAAUUAGUUUAUGGCUCUGUGAAUGUGCCCCCCCCUCUCUUCCACACACACACACACACACACACACACACACACAGAGUCCGCCCCCCACCCCUGGCCCUCGUCCUGAACGUGGCUCUGAUCAGAUUCGAUCAGUUUCCGCUCAGCUUGUUCUCUCGCAGCGUGAACACAGAAGAAGAAGCAGCAGCAUAAAUUUCCUCGUCGUCGUCGUCGUUGUUGUUGUCGUUGUUGUUGUUGUUCUCUUCUCUUCCUUCCUUCCUGUAAUUCCGUGCAGCGAGCAGCUGCAGGGCCUUUUCCCCUCCGACCGUCGCAGCGGAGCAGGUCGCGAGAUGAACAUCCAGAGGUUGAAUCCCAAAAUGAAGCUGGAGCCAAAGAGGAAGAACUAAUCUGCACCACAGUUGUGGUCCGAGGCCCCUGGUUGUCGGGGCCCCUGGUCAGCUGGUCCGUGGUGGUGCUGCUGACUCCUCCCCCUCUGACUCCUCCCCCUCUGUCUCCUCACUUCUUCUCCUCCGUUGACCGUCUUCUUCUCGGUUCCUUGUUCCGUCCUCACCAGAGUUCCCAGCCGGUGUUUUGGCUGCGCAUGUUUGUUUAGUGUCUGCAGAUUGAUCACGCUGGUUCGUGUUUAACCUACUUAGGCAGCGAGCGAGCGAGCUAAGCUGAGCCCCCUGCAGGAUUUAACAUUUCCAACUGUCAGGAUGAAUUAACCGGCACUAAUUCCACUUUCAUCCCUCGCUGGGCUCGUCGGGCGCCGUGACUCACGGCUCUGUGGCGCGGAGCGUCUCCGAGAGUGAUUCUUCUAAACAUCCAUGUUGAUUAGACUCUGAUCUGCUCCCGGGGCUUCGGAAGAAAGAAACUACAUCAGGCUUUGGUUCAUAAAAAACAAUCAUUUAUGGAAAAGACGAUUAUUACCUUAAAGUUUCUGUCAUUACAAGAUUCAGGAUGUGAAAAGUGUUUUUUCAAAUACUUUGAUCACGUGAAGACGUUUUCUGGUCGUUGAACUGAUUUAUCAUCUUUUAUCUCCUGUUCACAACUUAUUACUUUGAACACAUUCGGUAAAAAUGUGUAAUAACCCUGAUGAUCCUCAGUUUUCUUCCAGCGUUUUACCAGGUUGUAAUUUAAACUGUUCAAACUUUAGUUUUGACUUUUAACACCUGUGACACUUGAGUGAUCACCGCCUAGCGCCAGGCGUCUGUUGGGUUCAGUGUUUAUCUCGCUAAUGUAAAUGCUAAAGUAUGAUAGUGACCAUAAAAAUCACUAUGUUAGCAUCAGCUGCCUGCCGACUUUAGUGCUAAUUAGCGCAUGUAGGUGCUGAACUAAGAUAGAGACCACGAAUGUACAAGCAAGCAGACUUGUUCUAGCAAAAGGAAACUUUAAAACACGUAAAGUUACGGACAGGUCUUCACAAGAAGGAUAUUUAGGUUCAACGUCGACAAUAUGUCUGUGUUUUAACGUGAAAAAUAAAAAUAAUGGACCUCAA